rnacentral:misc_RNA from 1 species
GAUGACCUCGUCAAACAGAAAGGAUCAUGUAGUUUUUUAACCCUCCAUGCUGAUAAUGCACCUCAGGGACUCUCCUUUCAGCAUGUAGUCAAAUGCUUUGUUAAUCUCCGAGAAAGAAACAUAGUGAGUGAUGAACUUUUCCACUUCCAGCUCCUUCUUCAUGUACAUUUCCACGACAGAUGGAAGAUCACUGCGAGGCUUGUAAUUGCCAAAGAAAGUUCCUUUGAGAGUUCUUUCAUUCAACAGAUUCAUAGGAUGAGUUUUGAACGAGUCAUCCUUGCUUGGGACGCCCACAAGUACGGCAACACCCCAACCAUCAUGAACACAUUCAAAUGCUGAGAUCAUGGCUUGGAUACUCCCAGUGCAUUCAACACUCCGAUCGACUCCUCCAUCAGUCAUAUCAGCAAUCACCUGUUGAACAGGCUUAUCAUAAUCUUUUGGAUUCACAAACUCAGUGACACCAAACUUCUUGGCUUCUUCAAAUCGAUUAGGAUUCAAAUCAACACCAAUGAUUCUUGAAGCUCCAGAUAUCCUUGCCCCUUCUGCAGCUGCGAGGCCAACAGCACCUAGUCCAAAAAUUGCAACAGAUUGACCCCUUUU